CGAAAAUAUAGGUGAGAAUCCUAUACCCCGAAAACCCAAGGUUUCCUCCGGAAGGCUCGUCCGCGGAGGGUAAGUCAGGACCUAAGGCGAGGCUGAAAAGCGUAGUCGAUGGAUAACGGGUUAAUAUUCCCGUACCAUUUUUUACUGAUAUCGAGGGACGGAGAAGGCUAAGCUAGCCGGAUAUUGGUUACCGGUUUAAACGUUCAAGAUGUUGAGAAGCGGCGAAAACGCUUUGAGUUGAGACGUGAGUACGAGACGCUAAGGCGUCGAAGUAGUGUAUGUCAUACUUCCAAGAAAAGCUUGCACUGUCAUAAAUAAAAAAUGCCUGUACCAUAACCGACACAGGUGGGUAGGUAGAGUAUACUAAGGGGCGCGAGAUAACUCUCUCUAAGGAACUCGGCAAAAUAACUCCGUAACUUCGGGAGAAGGAGUGCCUUAUUUAAUAAGGUUGCAAUAACAAGAUCCAAGCAACUGUUUACCAAAAACACAGGUCUCCGCUAAGUCGUAAGACGAUGUAUGGGGGCUGACGCCUGCCCAGUGCCAGAAGGUUAAAGAAGUUGGUUAGCAUUAGCGAAGCUGAUAACUGAAGCCCUGGUGAACGGCGGCCGUAACAAUAACGGUCCUAAGGUAGCGAAAUUCCUUGUCGGGUAAGUUCCGACCUGCACGAAUGGUGUAACCAUGGCCACGCUGUCUCCACCCGAGACUCAGUGAAAUUGAAAUCGCAGUGAAGAUGCUGUGUACCCGCACCUAGACGGAAAGACCCCGUGAACCUUUACUACAGCUUGGCACUGAACAUUGAACCUACAUGUGUAGGAUAGGUGGGAGGCUUUGAAGCGUGGACGCCAGUUCGCGUGGAGCCAACCUUGAAAUACCACCCUGGCAACUUUGAGGUUCUAACUCAGGUCCGUUAUCCGGAUCGAGGACAGUGUAUGGUGGGUAGUUUGACUGGGGCGGUCUCCUCCCAAAUAGUAACGGAGGAGCACGAAGGUUAGCUAAUCACGGUCGGACAUCGUGAGGUUAGUGCAAUGGCAUAAGCUAGCUUAACUGCGAGACAGACACGUCGAGCAGGUACGAAAGUAGGUCAUAGUGAUCCGGUGGUUCUGUAUGGAAGGGCCAUCGCUCAACGGAUAAAAGGUACUCCGGGGAUAACAGGCUGAUGAUGCCCAAGAGUCCAUAUCGACGGCAUCGUUUGGCACCUCGAUGUCGGCUCAUCGCAUCCUGGGGCGGUAGUACGUCCCAAGGGUUGGGCUGUUCGCCCAUUAAAGUGGCACGCGAGCUGGGUUCAGAACGUCGUGAGACAGUUCGGUCCCUAUCUGGUGUGGGCGUUGGAUGAUUGAUGGGAGCUGCUCCUAGUACGAGAGGACCGGAGUGGACGAACCGCUGGUGUUCGGGUUGUCAUGCCAAUGGCAUUGCCCGGUAGCUAUGUUCGGAACGGAUAACCGCUGAAAGCAUCUAAGCGGGAAGCCGGCCCAAAGAUGAGUCAUCCCUGAACUUUAAGUUCUGGAAGGGUUGUUAUAGACGAUGACGUUGAUAGGCAGGGUGUGGAAGCGUUGUAAGGCGUUAAGCUAACCUGUACUAAUUGCCCGAGAGGCUUAACC
rnacentral:rRNA from 1 species